UGGCUCAGGAUGAACGCUGGCGGCGUGCCUAAUACAUGCAAGUCGAGCGAAUGGAUUAAGAGCUUGCUCUUAUGAAGUUAGCGGCGGACGGGUGAGUAACACGUGGGUAACCUGCCCAUAAGACUGGGAUAACUCCGGGAAACCGGGGCUAAUACCGGAUAACAUUUUGCACCGCAUGGUGCGAAAUUCAAAGGCGGCUUCGGCUGUCACUUAUGGAUGGACCCGCGUCGCAUUAGCUAGUUGGUGAGGUAACGGCUCACCAAGGCAACGAUGCGUAGCCGACCUGAGAGGGUGAUCGGCCACACUGGGACUGAGACACGGCCCAGACUCCUACGGGAGGCAGCAGUAGGGAAUCUUCCGCAAUGGACGAAAGUCUGACGGAGCAACGCCGCGUGAGUGAUGAAGGCUUUCGGGUCGUAAAACU
rnacentral:rRNA from 1 species